AUUGCAAUAAACUGUCAAAGAUAAAUAUUACAACGUGCCAAAGUUAAAGCUAGCUACCCCAAUAAAUGAUUGGACAAGUACUUGUACUGCUAUAGUAGUUGCUAACUAAACAAUCCCAGAAGGAAAAAGCUGUCUUAAUUAAGCUUAAAUCUCCUAUUAGAAAGAACGCUCACUAGAACAACAUGAAAAAAGCUGCUAUAAACAUAAUCAAUUAAUGCAAUAAACCCUAACCCUAAAUUAUUACCUGCAACUUGGUGUUUUGUGUAGAUAUAUACACACACACACACACACACACAGAGUACUUAAAAGAAUACUUCUCUGCAGUUAAGUAUUGGUAAAAAUUCCAAGUCAUGCAUGUUCUAUGGGUGAGAAUGAAAGUCCUACAAGUCCCUACUGGACUCCUUUUAUUUAUAUAUAAGGCAGACCAAGAUACACAAAAACUUCGUCAUCUAGAAAAACACAGAAUCAUUUACUUUCCGUACGUGUAUAUGCAUAUAUUAUACACACACACACACACACACAGAUCUUGCAAACUCCUCCAGUUCCUUCGAUCUUCAAAGGGAAAGCUCAGAAUCUUUGUAUAUAAGAAAGCUAUUGUUGCGAGCGCUGCCUCCAUGCAUAUUAGUAGUACGAUCAGAAAUAUAAAGGGUGGGAGGCCCAGCGGUUGCCCUAAGCGGCCAAAACAGUAUGGUUCACGUCCGCUUCAAGCAAAGCAAAAGUUUUGUCGUCUUCUUCAGAAUGAAAGCUAGGUAACUAGGGUUGGCAUGUGAGAAACUGACUGGGGUUUACCUAUAAAUGGAAGGUUUUUAUUGCUCCAAAUAAUUUUUUGGUUCGAGUUCACCAAACUGCAUUCCUUUCAAUGUAUCACAAGUCAAGUCCACCACCACAUCUCUAGUUUAAGGUAUUUUUCUUGGAGUAUAUGAUUCUCUCCCCUUCUAAUUCUCUCCCCUCCCCCCCUUUCUCUUCCCUCAUACUUGUAGGUUUACGAUUAAGCUAUGUCAACAUCUUGUGUUGAAUUUUUUAUAGAGAGAAAAAGACA